rnacentral:rRNA from 1 species
AUUGAACGCUGGCGGCAGGCCUAACACAUGCAAGUCGAGCGGAGCGGCGGACGGGUACGUAAUGCCUAGGAAUCUGCAUGGUCGUGAGGGAUGACGUCCGGAAACGGGCGCUAAUGCCGAAUACUAUCACAUUAGCCUAGGUCGGAGUAGCUAUUGGGUGGGGUAAAGGCCUACCAAGGCGACGAUCCGUAACUGGUCUGAGAGGAUGAUCAGUCAAACUGGAACUGAGACACGGUCCAGACUCCUACGGGAGGCAGCAGUGGGGAAUAUUGGACAAUGGGCGAAAGCCUGAUCCAGCCAUGCCGCGUGUAUGAAGAAGGCCUUCGGGUUGUAAAGUACUUUCAGCGGGGAGGCGUUACCCGCAGAAGAAGCACCGGCUAACUCCGUGCCAGCAGCCGCGGUAAUUC